rnacentral:rRNA from 1 species
GACGAACGCUGGCGGCGUGCUUAACACAUGCAAGUCGAACGGAAAGGCCCUGCUUUUGUUGGUUGCUCGAGUGGCGAACGGGUGAGUAACACGUGAGUAACCUGCCCUUGACUUUGGGAUAACUUCAGGAAACUGGGGCUACUACCGGAUAGGAGCUCCUGCUGCAUGGUGUGGGUUGGAAAGUUUCGGCGGUUGGGGAUUGUCUCGCUGCUUAUCAGCUUGUUGGUGGAGUAGUGGCUUACCAAGGCUUUGACGGGUAGCCGGCCUGAGAGGGUGACCGGCCACAUUGGGACUGAGAGACGGCCCAGACGGCUACGGGAGGCAGCAGUGGGGAAUAUUGCACAAUGGGCGGAAGCCUGAGGCAGCAACGCCGCGUGCGGGAUGACGGCCUUCGGGGUGUAAACAGCUUUCGCCUGUGACGAAGCGGGAGUGACGGUAAUGGGUAAAGAAGCACCGGCUAACUACGUG